AGGUGACUCAGCAGCCGCGGUAAUACAGAGGGUGCAAGCGUUAAUCGGAAUUACUGGGCGUAAAGCGCGCGUAGGUGGUUUGUUAAGUUGGAUGUGAAAUCCCCGGGCUCAACCUGGGAACUGCAUUCAAAACUGACAAGCUAGAGUAUGGUAGAGGGUGGUGGAAUUUCCUGUGUAGCGGUGAAAUGCGUAGAUAUAAGGAAGGAACACCAGUGGCGAAGGCGACCACCUGGACUGAUACUGACACUGAGGUGCAAAAGCGUGGGGAGCAAACAGGAUUAGAUACCCUGGUAGUCCACGCCGUAAACGAUGUCAACUAGCCGUUGGGAGCCUUGAGCUCUUAGUGGCGA
rnacentral:rRNA from 1 species